rnacentral:rRNA from 1 species
CACGUAGGGGGCGAGCGUUGCCCGGAAUCAUUGGGCGUAAAGAGCUCGUAGGCGGCUCGGUAAGUCGGGUGUGAAACCCCCAGGCUCAACCUGGGGACGCCACCCGAUACUGCUGUGGCUAGAGUCCAGUAGGGGAGUGUGGGAUUCCCGGUGUAGCGGUGAAAUGCGCAGAUAUCGGGAGGAACACCAGCGGCGAAGGCGGCACUCUGGGCUGGAACUGACGCUGAGGAGCGAAAGCGUGGGUAGCAAACAGG